rnacentral:rRNA from 1 species
UACGUAGGGUGCAAGCGUUACUCGGAAUUACUGGGCGUAAAGGGCGCGUAGGCGGUUUGUUAAGUCUGCUGUGAAAACUCGAGGCUCAACCUCGAGCUGUCGGUGGAAACUGUCUGGCUAGAGUCCGGAAGAGGAGAGUGGAAUUCCUGGUGUAGCGGUGAAAUGCGCAGAUAUCAGGAGGAACACCGGUGGCGAAGGCGGGUCUCUGGGACGUAACUGACGCUGAGGAGCGAAAGCGUGGGGAGCGAACAGG